GAAAAGGCAAACCUUGGGUUUCCGUGUCUAACAUUUGACUGUCCGUCUUAUAUGAAAUUUUUUUAUAAUUAGUAUUUUCAUUAUUGUUAGAUGGUAAAAUAUGAUUAAUAUUUUAUGCGUGACUUGUCUUUUUAAUUUUUUUCAUAUUUUUUUAAAUAAGACGGAUGAUCAAACGUUGGACACGGAAAUCCAGGGUUUGUCUUUUU
rfam:Oryza glumipatula chromosome 1, whole genome shotgun sequence.